rnacentral:rRNA from 1 species
GACGAACGCUGGCGGCGUGCUUAACACAUGCAAGUCGAACGGACCGGCCCUGCUUUUGUUGGGUGCUCGAGUGGCGAACGGGUGAGUAACACGUGAGUAACUUGCCCUCGACUUUGGGCUAACUUCAGGAAACUGGGGCUAAUACCGGCUAGGUGCUCCUGCUGCAUGGUGGGGGUUGGAAAGUUUCGGCGGUUGGGGAUGGACUCGGGGGUUAUCAGCUUGGUGGUGGGGUAGUCGCGUACCAGGGCUGUGACGGGUAGCCGGCCUGAGGGGGUGACUGGACAGAUUGGAACUGUAAUGGGGGCCGGAGUGCUGAAGAAUGCAGAAGGGGGGAAUGUUGCAUGAUGGGAGGCAGCGUGAUGCAGCAACGCCGCGUGGGGGAUGACGGCCUUCGGGUGUGAAGACGCUUCCGCCUGUGGCGAAGCGUGAGAGGCGAUAAUGGGUAAAGAAGCACCGGCUAACUACGUG